rnacentral:rRNA from 1 species
CAGUUAGGAAGGCGGAGGUGGCGUUCGUCGAUUCAACGGACCCUACCCGGGGCCGGGCGAACGUCACGGUCUACGUUUUACCUGACGCAUUUCCUCCCGCACUAAGGACGCCGCAGCCGGUUGGGUAGCUGCGUGAGUCGGCCAUGAGGACGGGCGCCGGCAGGUGGCCGGUGGCGUUGCUUAGGCUUCGCCGCCGGUUGUUAGCCAGCUCGUCCGUGGCACGACACCCGACCGAGGUUGAUCGGUUCUCGUAUGGGAACUUGCCGUCCCCUCCCUUCGGGGAGUGGGCGCUCUGGCAGGCACAUCGCGGUGUUGCCACGUCACUCAUUGUAGUGGCCGGUGCUCCGAGGUGGCUGUUGGCCGGAAGCGUCUCACUGGGGUGCAGGCGGCUAGCGGCGAGUAGGUCGGUUACCCACCCGACCCGUCUUGAAACACGGACCAAGGAGUCUAACAUGUGCGCGAGUCACGGGGUCUUGAUUAGGCCCAGAGGCGCAAUGAAAGUGAAGGUCGACCUCGACGUCGGCUGUGUUGGGAUUUCUCGUCCUUCGGGGCGGGGAAGCACCAACGACCCGUCCUAUCCGAUUUAUCGGUUGGGCGGAGUCUGAGCGUACACGUUGGGACCCGAAAGAUGGUGAACUAUGCCUGGGCAGGACGAAGCCAGAGGAAACUCUGGUGGAGGUCCGUAGCGGUUCUGACGUGCAAAUCGAUCGUCAGACCCGGGUAUAGGGGCGAGAGACUAA